CAUGUGAUAUGUUUGCAUUUUUAAAAGACCUCUUGGAUAGUGCCUUAACUCAAAGGAAUGAUUUUGUAGUGGAAUAUCAGGCUUUAGAGUAGUCAGGGGGAAAACAAUAGCAUUUUAUUCAUAGAAACUUUCCUUGAGGGCCUGCUCAAGACUCACCUCAUAGGUGUGACUACCUAUUUAGAGUUGCCAGAUAAAAUACAAGGUGCCCUAUAUCUUCAUAUAAGUAGGCCCCAAAUAUUAAAUGGGAUGUACUAAUACUUUUUUAAAAAUCAUUUUUUGCUUCUCUGAAAUCUGAAUUUAACUUGGCAUCCUAUAAUCUUAUUGGUGAAAAAAAAAUAAAGCUUUGAAAAAGCAGAACUAUUACAUUAUAGGAGUUUUCUGAUUGUUUUCAGCUUAGCCCUUAAUAAAUGCCACAGGCGCAGCACAUCUGUCCCAGUAGCAUAACUCAGCCCAAGACCUGGAUGGAAGCACAACAGCUUGCUUCUAAAGGGAGAAAAAUCCUCAAUGAAGGCAGAACAAACUUAAUCUCCUCAGAGUUCAGCGGUAAGUCU
rnacentral:lncRNA from 1 species